rnacentral:tRNA from 1 species
UCCCUGGCAGUCCAGUGGUUAGGACUUGGCAUUUUCACUGCUGUGGUCCAGGUUCAACCCCUGGUCCAGGAA